GAGUUUGAUGUGGCUCAGGACGAACGCUAGCGGCGUGCUUAACACAUGCAAGUCGAACGGUAAGGCUCCUUCGGGAGUACACGAGUGGCGAACGGGUGAGUAACACGUGGGUAAUCUACCUUGCACAUCGGGAUAAGCCUGGGAAACUGGGUCUAAUACCGAAUAUGACUCUUUUACGCAUGUUUAAGGGUGGAAAGUUUUUCGGUGCAAGAUGGGGCCCGCGGCCUAUCAGCUUGUUGGUGGGUAAUGGCCUACCAAGGCAACGACGGGUAGCCGGCCUGAGAGGGUGCUCGGCCACACUGGGACUGAGAUACGGCCCAGACUCCUACGGGAGCAGCAGUGGGGAAUAUUGCACAAUGGGCCAAGCCUGAUGCAGCGACGCCGCGUGA
rnacentral:rRNA from 1 species